rnacentral:rRNA from 1 species
UACGGAGGGUGCGAGCGUUGUCCGGAAUCACUGGGCGUAAAGGGCGCGUAGGCGGUUCGUUAAGUUGCUGGUGAAAUCCCGGGGCUUAACUCCGGGGCUGCCAGUAAGACUGGCGGGCUAGAGCACGAUAGAGGCAGAUGGAAUUCCCGGUGUAGCGGUGGAAUGCGUAGAUAUCGGGAAGAAUACCGGUGGCGAAGGCGUUCUGCUGGGCCGUUGCUGACGCUGAGGCGCGACAGCGUGGGGAGCAAACAGG